ACUUUUUUCCCAAUAAAAAGGUGAAAAUGCAAAAAAUAAAAGGAAUGACAUUUUAUACAAUAACAGUGAAAGAUAAUGAUGUUUUGUACUAAUUACCUUAUACUAAUUAUGUUAUCGUUAGGCCCUUUGCAUAUCCAGUUGACCAUAUUCGUUUUUUAACAAAAGCUUGAUAUAUGCACAAUUUUUUGUAUUCAUAGCAAAAUUUUUGUAAAAUAUCUGACGUAAUGUAUGGUUCAGAUACCUCGAUUUUCGUAAUGCAACAAAAAAAUCCAAAUGCUUUCUAUUUAGUAAGAUUGCCAAAUUCGCUGAUGUAAAUUUUCAAUUUUUUAUUAUCUAUUUUAUUGGAAUUGGUUUAUGUCUUCCUGAACGUUAUCAUUUCUUUGGUUGUCCCUGUUGAAAAAAGCAUGACAUGCAAAAUGAAUUUUUGGUUGUCUAGUGUGGAGAACGUUGAGAAAAUGUUAACGUCGUCGAAAAUGAAACGUUAGGAGGGAACGGUGUAAUUGUCUUGAGGUAGGUAUGAUCUUUAAGGAUGAAAAAUAAACAUCUGAGAUGAGUAAAAGAUAUUCUUAUGACGUUAGUUUUCUAGUUAGGAAAAGAAAUUCGAAAAAGGGUAACGAUGAAGUUCUCAGAUAUGUGACAUUAAAGAAGCUAGAGUACAAGCGGUUCUUUGAAUCCACAACCAACAAGUUAGACAAAUUGUAAAGCAAUGAUCUCUACAUCUUUAGAUAUUCAGGUAGUUGGAUGAAUUAACAUGGUCCACCUUGAGCAUAGUCAUAAAACAAGUCAUUCAAAAUCUAGGUUGUAUCAAUGCAAUGGAGAAUUGAUUGCAAAUGUGAAACGUAAGCUUGAGGUGAAUGAUAUUACAAGAAUUUCAUUGUACAAAAGUUACAACUCUGCAGUUGUGGAAGCAUGGGGAUAUGAGAAAAUGACAUGCCUUGAAAAGGAUUGUCGAGACCUGUCAAAAGAGUUAGAUGAUUACGAUUUGGAGAUUGAGAUGCCGCUGCAAUACAAUAAUACUUUUCAAAGAUGUAAGCACAAUGCUUGCUAAAGAACGUAUUUUGGACAGAUAAUCGGUUUACGCAAGCAUACAGAUAGUUCGAUAAUGUCGUCACAUUCAACACCACUUACUUUACUAAUAAGUACGACAUGCCUUUCGCCCCCUUUGUUGUAAUGAAUCAUCAUGGACAAUCAAUACUGCUUGGAUGUGGUUUACUAUCAAAUGAGGACACAUAUACUUAUGUGUGGCUUCUCAGGACAUGGUUUCAGUGUAUGAAUGGUCUACCCCCGCAUGGAAGAAAUACUGAUCAAAACGGGGUAGUGCAAAAAUGCAAUUCAGAUCGUUUUUCAAAUACGACGCAUAGAUUGUGUUUGUAGUACAUUUUGAAAAAGUUGACAGAGAAGUUUGGUUAUCGUGUUGAUAAGACAUCAAUAUUUUCUAUUAUACACAAACAAGUAAAUGAUUCUCAUUUUCUUUAAGAAUUUGUAGAAAGAUGGUGGUUGAUGAUCAACGAGUAUGAAUUGCAUGACAAUGAUUACUGGUCGAGACUAGACGAGAAUAGAGAUCUUUGGGUGCCUUGCUUUUUGAAGACCAAUUUUUGUGCGAUGGUGUCAACAAUACAGUGAAGUGAGAAUAGGCAUGCGUUCUUCGAUGGGUAUGCAUUCUGAAACCUUAUUUAAGUAGUUUGGGGAAUAAUAUGAAAGAGAGGUUGAGAAAGAAUUUCAAGCUGAUUCCAAAAUCAUUCACGCAAAUGUUACCGUGUGCUACAAAUUAUGAGACCGAGAAGUUAUUUCAAUCAGUUUUCACAAUCUCUAAAUUCAGGCUAGCAAUCUCUAAAUUCAGGCUAGCUUAAGAUGAGUUCACAGAAAAGGUUUAUUGCAACAUCAUAUCUAUUUCUAAGGGAUGUUUUAGGACCACAUACAAGGUGUUAGAGGAUGUCGUGUAUCAUGAGCAUCGGAAGAAAAAAAUAUUUUCUGCCUCAUUUCGGAGAGAUGGAUGUGAGAUUACUUACAGUUGCCACUUGUUUGAGUUUCGGGGCAUAAUUUGAAGGUGUGCGGUCACAGUUUUGAUCCCCAAUUGAUGUCACAUUACUUCCAGAGAAAUAUAUAAUAUGUAGAUGAUGGAGAGAUGUAAGUAGAGUACACAUGAGGAUAGCAGUAAACUAUGAAGGUUUGGUUAGUACUCCAUGGCAGUAGUGCCAGGCUUUUGCAGAAGUGACGAACCUUGCCGUAGAUGAUGAAGGGCAAACACAUGCUAUAAUGGAUUGAAUAAAAUACAAGGCUAAAGAUUUGAAGUAGAACAAGUCGAGUAGUAGAAGUAAUGUAGUGUCACAGCAUAACAUUUGGUAAGGAUCUCGGUGUACUGGUUUGUUUAAUAGUGCCAGUAUGAGCACAAGAGAUCCUAAAUCGUUGAAAAGGCAAGCCAAGGAAACUUCAGAAGAAAAGCCCAUUGGUUUCGACUUCAAAGAAAUCAAAGGCAACUUCAAAUUCAAACCAAGGAAAGAGAUCGAAAUCAAAGGACAGUAAUAUGGAUGAGGCUUCACCCAACAUUCAACCGUUUCAACAAAGACAAUAUUCACAAUCGAUGCCGUUUUCGUAUUCAUACCUAUUGUUGGUUAGUAUAUUGAUUUUAUAUAAUUUCACCUUUUUGAAUUGUUAUUUACUUUGCUUUUCGAUAGAAGCCACCUCUAGAACUCACCGGAUAUUAAUUUGAUCCCCCAUCCUCUACAUUAGGUCAAUCAUUGCAAUACUACCAUCCACAUUUACCGCAAAAUGAUGGCACAUGCAUAUAAUCGUGUGGAAUGGAGGUGAUUUUUUUAGGUACUGCUAAAAUUGUUAUGCAUACUAUUCCUAUUCACCAUGGAUGCUAAAGAAUUAGGGGAGCCGGCGACUGAAGCCCCGGUGAACGGCGACCGUAACUAUAAUAGUCCUAAGGUAGUGAAAUUCCUUGUCGGUCUUUUUUACUUAUGCUUGUUGUCGUGAGACUGUUUUAGUAUAAAUUGCUUCUUCUCAUGCUCAAAUGCCUGAUGUUGUCUGAUAUAGAGUGAUGGAAGGAGGAAGUUAUAAAAAUUCAAUGUUCAUGUUCAGAUUAAAUUCCAUGAGAUUUAAUUUGCCAAGUUGACAGUAAUCCUUGAUGUUUAAUCGAUUGGCAUAGGCAGUAUGGGAUACAAGUUCUUUCA